rnacentral:rRNA from 1 species
UAGAGCGCCGAGUUACCUGGGGUACCUGGGGUGACCAGGCUGGGUUGCCAGGUUUGU